AGUAUUAUGUUAUGGGCUUCUUCUUCAACGGCGUAGGCUUUGCUAGCCCGUGACCUUCCUGAGACGCUGAGUGUGUUCGUGGGGGUCGACCUCUUCGAGAUUAGGGUUGCCGUCUUCCUCGAGAUCUUUCAAUCGAGGGCUCUUCCUCUUUCCCUAUUGUUAUUACUCGAUCAUUAUGAACCGAUCUCUGCUGUUGUCGCGAUUCCUCUUCCUGUAACGUAUUCUUUCCCUUCCUAUAUAUCAAGAUCGUCUGCGGUGAGGUGCUUCCGUCGCUAACGCCGCCGUCCCUAACGUCGCCGGCGCCUACUCUACGUUCAACACUCUCCGCCUUGGUAGAUCCGCUCAGACCAUUGCUACUCGCCUCAUCCGGUUCUGGGAUUCUCGAAACAUCCACAAGAAUGGGGAGUUUAUGGGAAUAACUAUUCUCCUCCUCAGAUGAACAGGACUCGGUGAUUCAUGGUUUCAUCCCCGCUAACCGGGCCAGCCAGUUCCGGUCGUGUUUGAAAGCCGGUUCCAUUGUGAGAUUGGAUGGUUUUGAAGUUGCUCGAGUCGCUCACAUGUACAAGAUCACAGAACUUCAGUUCGUGAUCCGUUUCAUCCCUUCAACACGUAUUGUUGAAGUCUUGGCUGACGCUCUUGUGAUCAAGUCCGACAAGUUCCUGGUCCGGCGUAUUGAUCAUCUUCAAGUGCUUGCUAACUCUAACCUAGAGCUCCCAGAUGUUGUGGGUGAAAUACGUUCCGUUCAGGGGUACGAUCUCCAAAAUGACGCAGCUACGAGCAGAAUUGUGGUCUGCCUCCUUUUCGAACCAACUGUGACCGUAAACGUAUCUUUGUGGGAUGAGGCUGCAUCAGCCUUUAGGGGCCUCUUGAGAGCAGAAGACAAAUCCCAGUCCGUGAUGUUGGUGACCUCGGUAAAUCCUAAACUGUUUGGAGGCAACCUGUAUUUAAACUCCACACAAGGAACUAGGUUCUUCUUUGACACCACCCUCCCUGAAAUAGCAGAGUUUGUCAGCAGAGUUUGAGCUACAUCAGCUCAAGUGUAUUCCUGCGUUGACACCCUCGAAGGAAUCAAAAAGAAGGAGCUUGUCUCGAUAAGGGAUCUCAACAACUUCAUCUCCAACUCCAAUGAGCAGACCCAAGAAGCUGAUUUCCUCUGCAAGACCCGUAUUGUUUGUGUCAUCCCCGAAAAUGGGUAGUCUUUUGUGUCAUGCACUGGCUGCCACAAAAAAUUGGAGAGACUUGGAACUUCGCUGAACUGUACCAGAUGUGUAACUUCUGACGUGGCUGGUGUGGUCAGGUUCCGUGUUGAGCUUGCUGUUGAUGAUGGCAAUGACAGCGCAACUUUUGUUGUCUUCGACAAAUAGAUGUCAAAGCUGACCAAACAGGAAGCUUCUGUUCUGGCACUCGAUGCGGUACCUUCUUUACUCACGUUUCAAACGGUAGAGAGGAGUAUCUGCCCAGCUGUCUUGAAGAGCUAACAGGGAAGGAAUUUGUGUUCCAAAUCCGUGUCACACCUUUCAACUUCAGUCCCAAUCACCGUACAUUCACAGUCUCCACCAUCACUGAAGAUAGCACCAUUGCGAAUCAGAUGAAGAACACAGUGAGGGCAUUAUUCCAAACGGUUCUGGUGACGUAGGAUUAACCGCUUCGUCCUCUGGUCCGUCUGUUUUGGGAUUCAAGAACGGUGAGGAAUGUGUUUCAGCAGCCCCUCCUGAGAAUGCAGACACUCUGAAGAAACGCAAGCGUAACCAUGAGUAACUCGCAGAAUGACCACCUACCAGCCCGUCCCCAGUCUUUUCUAUGCUUUUUAAAAAAACUUCUAAUAUCUAUGUUUUCAAUCUCAACUUUGGGUUUAUUCCUUCUAUCUUCUUCAUAUCUACGGAUAUUUCUCUAUGUUUUAUUAUUAAUGAAUCUUCGACGGGCUUAAGUUGAUUCCAAAUUUGCGAGUCUCUAUGUUUUAUUAUUAAUGAAUCUUUGACGGGCUUAA